rnacentral:rRNA from 1 species
AGAGUUUGAUCCUGGCUCAGGACGAACGCUGGCGGCGUGCCUAAUACAUGCAAGUCGAGCGAAUCUUUAGGAGCUUGCUCCUAAAGAUUAGCGGCGGACGGGUGAGUAACACGUGGGCAACCUGCCUGUAAGACUGGGAUAACUUCGGGAAACCGGAGCUAAUACCGGAUAAUCCUUUUCCUCUCAUGAGGGAAAGCUGAAAGACGGUUUCGGCUGUCACUUACAGAUGGGCCCGCGGCGCAUUAGCUAGUUGGUGAGGUAACGGCUCACCAAGGCGACGAUGCGUAGCCGGCCUGAGAGGGUGAACGGCCACAUUGGAACUGAGACACGGUCCAGACUCCUACGGGAGGCAGCAGUGGGGAAUAUUGCACAAUGGGCGAAAGCCUGAUGCAGCAACGCCGCGUGAGUGAUGAAGGCCUUCGGGUUGUAAAGCUCUGUCUUCUGGGACGAUAAUGACGGUACCAGAGGAGGAAGCCACGGCUAACUACGUGCCAGCAGCCGCGGUAAUACGUAGGUGGCAAGCGUUGUCCGGAUUUACUGGGCGUAAAGGAUGCGUAGGCGGAUGCUUAAGUCAGAUGUGAAAAUCCCGGGCUUAACUUGGGAACUGCAUUUGAAACUGGGUAUCUAGAGUGCGGGAGAGGAGAGUGGAAUUCCUAGUGUAGCGGUGAAAUGCGUAGAGAUUAGGAAGAACACCAGUGGCGAAGGCGACUCUCUGGACCGUAACUGACGCUGAGGCAUGAAAGCGUGGGGAGCAAACAGGAUUAGAUACCCUGGUAGUCCACGCCGUAAACUAUGGGUACUAGGUGUGGGAGUUGUCAUGACUUCCGUGCCGCAGUUAACACAAUAAGUACCCCGCCUGGGGAGUACGGUCGCAAGAUUAAAACUUAAAGGAAUUGACGG